UACGAAGGGGGCGAGCGUUGUUCGGAUUUACUGAGCGUAAAGGGCGCGUAGGCGGCCGUCCAAGUCGCGUGUGAAAGCCCCGGGCUCAACCUGGGAGGUGCGCGCGAGACUGGUUGGCUGGAGUUCGGGAGAGGAGCGUGGAAUUCCCAGUGUAGAGGUGAAAUUCGUAGAUAUUGGGAAGAACACCGGUGGCGAAGGCGGCGCUCUGGACCGAGACUGACGCUGAGGCGCGAAAGCGUGGGGAG
rnacentral:rRNA from 1 species